GAGUUAUUUCUUGAUAUUAGGGGAAAGUGGGUGAAUUGUGUGCACCUAAGGGAAAUUUAUUGUCCUGGAAUGGAUUUCCGAGUUCAAAGCAAUAUAAGUAUGGAAAUAGAAACCAUAAACAUUUUUCUACCAUUAAAUAUCCUCAUAUCGAACAAAUUUUCAAUCAAUAAGGUUGUAUUUGACCAAAAGGAAA